UACGUAGGGGGCAAGCGUUGUCCGGAUUUAUUGGGCGUAAAGAGCGUGUAGGCGGCCACACAGGUCUGCUGUGAAAACUCGAGGCUCAACCUCGAGCUGUCGGUGGAAACCGUGUGGCUAGAGUCCGGAAGAGGAGAGCGGAAUUCCGUGGUGUAGCGGUGGAAUGCGCAGAUAUCAGGAAGAACACCCGUGGCGAAGGCGGCGUCUCUGGGACGGUACUGACGCUGAGACGCGGAAAGCGUGGGGAGCGAACAGG
rnacentral:rRNA from 1 species